AGAAAAAAAAGAAAGAAGAAGACAACAAGGAAGGAGUAACGUUCAAGAAACUCUUCUCCAAAUCCAAAUUCCACUUGGAUUCCACUCCAAGAGGCUGCCGCUCCCGGGCGGAGCCAAGUCCCGGACUGGAUUACGCACGGCGGACUCUCCUGCAACCCCGCCUCCUUUAGCUGGCGUUUUCUCCGACCCAAAGGAGAGCUGUGGUGGUGUGUGUGAAUGCGAGUGAGCGAGAUGGAGGGAACCAACGCGGUGUGGCGGCAGGUGGAGCCUUGGACCGACUGGCCAGUGAGGCUUCCUUCCUUCGCGAUACCCGGCACCUCCGCGCACUGGGCGGAGGUCCCAGCGGGGGCGACUCUGGCAGGAACCCAGCCCUUGCCUCCCCUUUGCCCGCAUCGGUACUAGCAAGGCGGAGGGGACGGGCGGGGGGAAAUCCCGGACAGCAUUGCUGAGUCCUGCCAAAUUAGAAAAAUAAAUAAAAAAUAAACGUAGUGCA